GGAUGUGAGGGCGAUCUGGCUGCGACAUCUGUCACCCCAUUGAUCGCCAGGGUUGAUUCGGCUGAUCUGGCUGGCUAGGCGGGUGUCCCCUUCCUCCCUCACCGCUCCAUGUGCGUCCCUCCCGAAGCUGCGCACUGGGUCGACGAGGACGACCUUCCCCGAAUAGAGGAGGACCGGUCUUCGGUCAAGGGUAUACGAGUAGCUGCGCUCCCCUGCUAGAACCUCCAAACAAGCUCAAGGUCCAUAAUCUAGAUAGUAUUAAAUUUUUGGACACUUAUGCAGUUUCAGACAUGGGUUUCAUCAUGAGCUUUUCAUGGAAUGACCCU
rnacentral:snRNA from 1 species